rnacentral:rRNA from 1 species
UGGGGAAUAUUGGACAAUGGGCGCAAGCCUGAUCCAGCCAUGCCGCGUGAGUGAUGAAGGCCUUAGGGUUGUAAAGCUCUUUUGUCGGGGACGAUAAUGACGGUACCCGAAGAAUAAGCUCCGGCUAACUUCGUGCCAGCAGCCGCGGUAAUACGAAGGGAGCUAGCGUUGUUCGGAAUCACUGGGCGUAAAGCGCACGUAGGCGGAUUUGUUAGUCAGGGGUGAAAUCCCGGGGCUCAACCUCGGAACUGCCUUUGAUACUGCAAAUCUCGAGUCCGAUAGAGGUGGGUGGAAUUCCUAGUGUAGAGGUGAAAUUCGUAGAUAUUAGGAAGAACACCGGUGGCGAAGGCGGCCCACUGGAUCGGUACUGACGCUGAGGUGCGAAAGCGUGGGGAGCAAACAGG